rnacentral:rRNA from 1 species
AGUGAACGCUGGCGGUAGGCCUAACACAUGCAAGUCGAACGGCAGCACAGUAAGAGCUUGCUCUUACGGGUGGCGAGUGGCGGACGGGUGAGGAAUACAUCGGAAUCUACUUUUUCGUGGGGGAUAACGUAGGGAAACUUACGCUAAUACCGCAUACGACCUACGGGUGAAAGCAGGGGAUCUUCGGACCUUGCGCGAUUGAAUGAGCCGAUGUCGGAUUAGCUAGUUGGCGGGGUAAAGGCCCACCAAGGCGACGAUCCGUAGCUGGUCUGAGAGGAUGAUCAGCCACACUGGAACUGAGACACGGUCCAGACUACUACGGGAGGCAGCAGUGGGGAAUAUUGGACAAUGGGCGCAAGUCUGAUCCAGCAAGACCGCGUGGGUGAAGAAGGCCUUCGGGUUGUAAAGCCCUUUUGUUGGGAAAGAAAAGCAGCAGGUUAAUACCCCGCUGUUCUGACGGUACCCAAAGAAUAAGCACCGGCUAACUUCGUG